UACAGAGGUCUCAAGCGUUGUUCGGAUUCAUUGGGCGUAAAGGGUGUGUAGGUGGCGCCGUAAGUCGGGGUGUGAAAUUUCGGAGCUUAACUCCGAAACUGCAUUCGAUACUGCGGUGCUUGAGGACUGGAGAGGAGACUGGAAUUCAUGGUGUAGCAGUGAAAAUGCGUAGAGAUCAUGAGGAAGACCAGUGGCGAAGGCGGGUCUCUGGACAGUUCCUGACACUGAGACACGAAGGCCCAGGGGGAGCAAACGGGG
rnacentral:rRNA from 1 species